GCCAAACGAAGUCCUCUGGGAGGUCUGCGCGCUCGUCUCCGCUCCUCCUCCUCUGUUCCCAACUUCCUCAAACUCCUCGCUCCUGUCCACGAGAGCCACACCUGUGACUUAGACAAGAGGAGUGACGUAGCAGCCCUGUCCAGUCCGGUAGCAGUGUGUGUGGUAGGAGACGGUCCUCUACGGAGACACUCCUGGAGACAACAGAUCUUCCUUCGUGUCGCUACCCCUCAGAAAAACACUGACAGCAAUG